rnacentral:rRNA from 1 species
GACGAACGCUGGCGGCGUGCUUAACACAUGCAAGUCGAACGGUGAAGCUCCAGCUUGCUGGAGUGGAUCAGUGGCGAACGGGUGAGUAACACUUGAGCAACCUGCCCCUGACUCUGGAAUAAGCGCUGGAAACGGCGUCUAAUACUGGAUACGAGAAGGGUCCGCAUGGGCACUUUCUGGAAAGUUUUUCGGUUGGGGAUGGGCUCGCGGCCUAUCAGCUUGUUGGUGAGGUAAUGGCUCACCAAGGCGACGACGGGUAGCCGGCCUGAGAGGGCGACCGGCCACACUGGGACUGAGACACGGCCCAGACUCCUACGGGAGGCAGCAGUGGGGAAUAUUGCACAAUGGGCGAAAGCCUGAUGCAGCGACGCCGCGUGAGGGAUGACGGCCUUCGGGUUGUAAACCUCUUUCAGCAGGGAAGAAGCGAAAGUGACGGUACCUGAAGAAGAAGCACCGGCUAACUACGU